rnacentral:rRNA from 1 species
CAGGUGCUGCAUGGCUGUCGUCAGCUCGUGUCGUGAGAUGUUGGGUUAAGUCCCGCAACGAGCGCAACCCUUAUCCCUAGUUGCCAUCAGGUAAAGCUGGGAACUCUGGGGAGACUGCCGGUGAUAAACCGAGGAAGCGGGGAUGACGUCAAGUCCUCAUGGCCCUUACAUCCCGGGCUACACACGUGCUACAAUGGCAGGUACAGAGGGCUGCGAAGCCGCGAGGUGGAGCGAAUCCCAGAAAACCUGUCUCAGUCCGGAUUGAAGUCUGCAACUCGACUUCAUGAAGGCGGAAUCGCUAGUAACCGCGAAUCAGCAGGUCGCGGUGAAUACGUUCCCGGGCCUU